rnacentral:pre_miRNA from 1 species
CGAACAACAUUCGGAACGUCGGUCUACCGAGCUAUGUCAGCCGCUCGGUGGAAGAUCUUCCCUACGUCGUUAAUC